AACGAACGCUGGCGGCAGGCCUAACACAUGCAAGUCGAGCGCUGCAGCAAUGCAGAGCGGCAGACGGGUGAGUAACGCGUGGGAACCUUCCCAGUGGUACGGAAUAGCCCAGGGAAACUUGGGGUAAUACCGUAUACGCCCGAAAGGGGAAAGAUUUAUCGCCAUUGGAUGGGCCCGCGUAGGAUUAGCUAGUUGGUGAGGUAACGGCUCACCAAGGCGACGAUCCUUAGCUGGUCUGAGAGGAUGAUCAGCCACACUGGGACUGAGACACGGCCCAGACUCCUACGGGAGGCAGCAGUGGGGAAUAUUGGACAAUGGGCGCAAGCCUGAUCCAGCCAUGCCGCGUGAGUGACGAAGGUCUUCGGAUUGUGAAGCUCUUUUGGCGGGGACGAUAAUGACGGUACCCGCAGAAUAAGCCCCGGCUAACUUCGUGCCAGCCGCCGCGGUAACAC
rnacentral:rRNA from 1 species